CAAAUUAGAGCUUGAAAUCAAAGUAUUUCAUUUACAUUGAAAAGAUAUUAAUAUUUAUUAAUUAAUUUGA
rnacentral:tRNA from 1 species